GUAGAAAUAGUAAAUGCCGUCUUGGUUUUAACUGCAGAUCGAGCGUUCUUGCACUGUUUAUAUUAUAUCAGAUAAGUACUGCGCAAUAUUAUCUAUUAUUAAACAUGACUUGAUCUUGUAGAACAUUCGAGUUCGUGUGAUGCGGUGGGGUGAUAUUUCAUCAUAUGGUACACCAAUAGCCUACUGGGUCAUAUAGGAGUGCCACCGACAUGUCUGGUUCAGGCACUUGUAAACAAUAUAUUCCAGACAUACGCAAAAUUCGUUUCAUGAAUGUAGAUACUAAGAUUGGCCUAUCAUAAUAUUUUCACUGUCAGUAUUACUUAGUUAUAGGCCUUUUGUUUUAUUUAAAAAAAAAAUAAAAAAAUGUUUAUUGUGAAUAGCUGAAAACACGAUUGUUUAAAAAUGAAUGCUGUGACUGUAGGCCUAAUGUUUGCGGUUUUCAUUUGUUUAAGUAUUUCACAGACAUUUUCGAUUUCACCGUGCAAACAAGGAUUUUAUUACAAUUCACGAGCGAGAAAAUGUGAUGACUGUGCUAAUGUAUGCUAUCAUCCUGCAGACCAAUACCAGCUAGACGAGUGUAACACAUAUUGUCCAGAUUACCUAAGAAAGAGCACAGCGACUGACAGUGCCGAGACGACCUGUCCCCAGGGUUAUUACUUCGAUCCACACGUGGGAAUACGAGGAAAGUGUGAGCCAUGCUCAGUAUUAUGCCACAGACACGUAAUAACCAGAAAUACAAAAGAUUGCAAAACCAAAUGUGCAGGUUUUCUGGAGCAGGGUGUUGGCAAGACUUCAAAGACGAGAACUGACUGCCCCAAGGGUUUCUACUUCGAUCCCCAUGUUGGCGUGAAAGGGAAGUGUGAACCAUGUUCUGUUUUGUGUUAUGCACACAAGGUUACCAGAAAUACAGAAGAUUGCAAAUCCAAGUGCCCAGAUGAAUACGCUUCUAAGGAGGCUGGAGCCAAUCAGACUGGUGAUCCUGUGAAUGCUACAGAACAAGCCGGCGCCUCGGGUAGCAGUGGAGAGGAUUCAAAGAAGGGGAAGGAAUCGAGACAAUUAGGCAAAGCAGGUGUAGCUAGUGGAGACAAAACAGAAGGGAAUAAUAAUGUUUUGAUCAUAGCUAUAGCGUGUGUGGUGGGUGUAAUUGGUGUCAUCUGUAUUGUAGGCAGACUUGUAUUUUUUCGUUUUCAAAUUCAAGACGGUAAAACUCAAGAAGAUAUGGAAUGGAAGGAAGGAGCCUGUCAAAGACGAGGAAAACAAUGCACAAACUGGAAAACUUCUUGGCGGUCCACCUGUGCAAGAGUGCAUGACCAAACGUGAAACAACUGAAACAACUGAACUCGUUCAGUCAGAUGACACCCAAGUGAAAAUGGCCCAUGGCGAAGUGCGCGAAUCCUACAAAUAUUCCUAUCUUCAUCCAUCACAAAGUUAGCACAAGACCAGGCAUCAAAACAAGCAUCUUGCCUGGUAUCCCACAUACAGGUCACCAUACAUUACGAGCCUGGUAGCCCACAUACAGGUCACCAUACAUUACGAGCCUGGUAUCCCACAUACAGGUCACCAUACAUUACGAGCCUGGUAGCCCACAUACAGGUCACCAUACAUUAUGAGCCUGGUAUCCCACAUACAGAGCCUGGUAUCCCACAUACAGGUCACCAUACAUUACGAGCCUGGUAUCCCAUACAGGUCACCAUACAUUACGAGCCUGGU
rnacentral:misc_RNA from 1 species